rnacentral:rRNA from 1 species
AUUGAACGCUGGCGGCAGGCCUAACACAUGCAAGUCGAACGGUAACAGGAAGAAGCUUGCUUCUUUGCUGACGAGUGGCGGACGGGUGAGUAAUGUCUGGGAAACUGCCUGAUGGAGGGGGAUAACUACUGGAAACGGUAGCUAAUACCGCAUAACGUCGCAAGACCAAAGAGGGGGACCUUCGGGCCUCUUGCCAUCGGAUGUGCCCAGAUGGGAUUAGCUAGUAGGUGGGGUAACGGCUCACCUAGGCGACGAUCCCUAGCUGGUCUGAGAGGAUGACCAGCCACACUGGAACUGAGACACGGUCCAGACUCCCACGGGAGGCAGCAGUGGGGAAUAUUGCACAAUGGGCGCAAGCCUGAUGCAGCCAUGCCGCGUGUAUGAAGAA